GUGGUCUGUCUCCAGCCCCGUCGCCGGCGGAGGCGGGCGCGGGCGCGUCCCUGUGGCCAGUCACCCGGAGGAGUUGGUCGCACAAUUAUGAAAGACUCGGUUUCUGCUGCUAGCGCCGGAGCUGAGUUAGUUCUGAGAAGGUUUCCCUGGGCUGUCCUUGUCCGGCGGCCUCUGCUGCCGCCUCCGGAGACGCUUCCCGAUAGAUGGCUACAGGCCGCGGAGGAGGAGGAGGUGGAGUUGCUGCCCUUCCGGAGUCCGCCCCGUGAGGAGAAUGUCCCAGAAAUCCUGGAUAGAAAGCACUUUGACCAAGAGGGAAUGUGUAUAUAUCAUACCAAGUUCCAAAGACCCUCACAGAUGCCUUCCAGGAUGUCAGAUUUGUCAGCAACUUGUCAGGUGUUUUUGUGGUCGCUUGGUCAAGCAACAUGCUUGUUUUACUGCAAGUCUUGCCAUGAAAUACUCAGAUGUGAAAUUGGGUGACCAUUUUAAUCAGACAUUAGAAGAGUGGUCUGUGGAAAAACAUACAGAACAGAGCCCAACGGAUGCUUAUGGAGUCAUAAAUUUUCAAGGGGGUUCUCAUUCCUACAGAGCUAAGUAUGUGAGGCUAUCCUAUGACACCAAACCUGAAAUCAUUCUACAACUUCUGCUUAAAGAAUGGCAAAUGGAAUUACCCAAACUUGUUAUCUCUGUGCAUGGUGGCAUGCAGAAGUUUGAGCUUCACCCACGAAUCAAGCAGUUGCUUGGAAAGGGUCUUAUUAAAGCUGCAGUUACAACCGGAGCCUGGAUUUUAACUGGAGGAGUGAACACAGGUGUGGCAAAACAUGUUGGUGAUGCCCUUAAAGAACAUGCUUCCAGAUCAUCUCGAAAGAUUUGCACUAUUGGAAUAGCUCCAUGGGGAGUGAUUGAAAACAGAAAUGAUCUUGUUGGGAGAGAUGUGGUUGCUCCUUACCAAACUUUGUUGAACCCUCUGAGCAAAUUGAAUGUUCUGAAUAAUCUGCAUUCCCAUUUCAUAUUGGUGGAUGAUGGCACUGUUGGAAAGUAUGGAGCAGAAGUCAGACUUAGAAGAGAACUUGAAAAAACUGUUAAUCAGCAAAGAAUUCAUGCUAGAAUUGGUCAAGGUGUUCCUGUGGUGGCACUUAUAUUUGAGGGUGGGCCAAAUGUUAUCCUCACUGUUUUAGAAUACCUCCAGGAAAGUCCUCCUGUUCCAGUCGUCGUAUGUGAAGGAACAGGCAGAGCUGCAGAUCUACUAGCAUAUAUUCAUAAGCAAACAGAAGAAGGAGGGAAUCUUCCUGAUGCAGCAGAGCCCGAUAUUAUUUCAACUAUCAAAAAAACAUUUAACUUUGGCCAGAGUGAAGCAGUUCAUUUAUUUCAAACACUAAUGGAAUGUAUGAAAAGAAAGGAGCUCAUCACUGUUUUCCACAUUGGAUCAGAUGAACAUCAAGAUAUAGAUGUAGCAAUUCUUACUGCACUGCUGAAAGGCACUAAUGCAUCUGCAUUUGACCAGCUCAUCCUUACAUUGGCUUGGGAUAGAGUUGACAUCGCCAAAAAUCAUGUAUUUGUUUAUGGACAGCAGUGGCUGGUUGGAUCCUUGGAACAAGCUAUGCUUGAUGCUCUUGUAAUGGAUAGAGUUGCAUUUGUAAAACUUCUUAUUGAAAAUGGAGUAAGCAUGCAUAAAUUCCUUACCAUUCCUAGACUGGAAGAACUUUACAACACUAAACAAGGCCCAACUAAUCCAAUGCUAUUUCAUCUUGUUCGAGAUGUCAAGCAGGGGAAUCUUCCUCCAGGAUAUAAGAUCACUCUAAUUGAUAUAGGACUUGUUAUUGAAUAUCUUAUGGGAGGAACCUAUAGAUGCACCUACACUCGGAAACGUUUUCGAUUAAUAUAUAAUAGUCUUAGUGGAAAUAAUCGGAGGUCUGGCCGAAAUACCUCCAGCAGCACUCCUCAGUUGCGAAAGAGUCAGGAAUCUUUUGGCAAUAGAGCAGAUAAAAAGGAAAAAACGAGGCAUAAUCAUUUCAUUAAAACAGCACAGCCCUACCGACCAAAGAUUGAUACAGCUGUGGAAGAAGGAAAGAAGAAAAGAACCAAAGAUGAAAUUGUAGAUAUUGAUGAUCCAGAAACCAAGCGCUUUCCUUAUCCACUUAAUGAACUAUUAAUUUGGGCUUGCCUCAUGAAGAGGCAGGUUAUGGCCCGUUUUUUAUGGCAGCAUGGUGAAGAAUCAAUGGCUAAAGCAUUAGUUGCCUGUAAGAUCUAUCGUUCAAUGGCAUAUGAAGCAAAGCAGAGUGACCUUGUAGAUGAUACUUCAGAGGAAUUGAAACAAUAUUCCAAUGAUUUUGGUCAACUGGCAGUUGAAUUACUGGAACAAUCCUUCAGACAAGAUGAAACCAUGGCUAUGAAAUUGCUCACUUAUGAACUGAAAAAUUGGAGUAAUUCUACCUGUCUUAAGUUAGCAGUUUCUUCAAGACUUAGACCUUUUGUAGCUCACACAUGUACGCAGAUGUUGUUAUCUGAUAUGUGGAUGGGAAGGCUGAAUAUGAGGAAAAAUUCCUGGUACAAGGUCAUACUAAGCAUUUUAGUUCCACCUGCCAUAUUAAUGUUAGAAUAUAAAACUAAGGCUGAAAUGUCUCAUAUUCCACAAUCUCAAGAUGCUCAUCAAAUGACAAUGGAAGAUAGUGAAAACAACUUUCAAAACAUAGCAGAAGAGAUUCCCAUGGAAGUAUUUAAAGAAGUAAGACUAUUGGACAAGAAUGAAGGGAAGAAUGAAAUGGAGAUACAAAUAAAAUCAAAAAAGCUUCCAAUCACACGAAAGUUUUAUGCCUUUUAUCAUGCACCAAUUGUAAAAUUCUGGUUUAACACGUUGGCAUACUUAGGAUUUCUGAUGCUUUAUACAUUUGUGGUUCUUGUACAAAUGGAACGAUUACCUUCAGUUCAAGAAUGGAUUGUUAUUGCUUAUAUUUUUACCUAUGCUAUUGAGAAAGUCCGUGAGAUUUUUAUGUCUGAAGCUGGAAAAAUAAGCCAGAAGAUUAAAGUGUGGUUUAGUGAUUACUUCAAUAUCAGUGAUACAAUUGCCAUAAUUUCUUUCUUCAUUGGAUUUGGACUAAGAUUUGGAGCAAAAUGGAACUUUGAGAAUGCAUAUGAUAAUCAUGUUUUUGUGGCUGGAAGAUUAAUUUACUGUCUUAACAUAAUAUUUUGGUAUGUGCGUUUGCUAGAUUUUCUAGCUGUAAAUCAACAGGCAGGACCUUAUGUAAUGAUGAUUGGAAAAAUGGUGGCCAAUAUGUUCUACAUUGUAGUGAUUAUGGCUCUUGUAUUACUUAGUUUUGGUGUUCCCAGAAAGGCAAUACUUUAUCCUCGUGAAGCACCAUCUUGGACUCUUGCUAAAGAUAUAGUUUUUCAUCCAUACUGGAUGAUUUUUGGUGAAGUUUAUGCCUAUGAAAUUGAUGUUUGUGCAAAUGAUUCCAGUAUCUCUCAUAUCUGUGGUCCUGGGACAUGGUUGACUCCAUUUCUUCAAGCAGUCUACCUCUUUGUACAGUAUAUCAUUAUGGUCAAUCUUCUCAUUGCAUUUUUCAACAAUGUGUAUUUGCAAGUGAAGGCAAUUUCCAAUAUUGUAUGGAAGUACCAACGUUAUCAUUUCAUUAUGGCUUAUCAUGAGAAACCAGUUCUGCCUCCACCACUUAUCAUUCUCAGCCAUAUAGUUUCUCUUUUUUGCUGCAUAUGUAAAAGAAGAAAAAAAGAUAAGACUUCGGAUGGACCAAAACUUUUUUUAACAGAAGAAGAUCAAAAGAAACUUCAUGAUUUUGAAGAGCAGUGUGUUGAGAUGUAUUUUAAUGAAAAAGAUGACAAAUUUCAUUCUGGGAGUGAAGAGAGAAUUCGUGUCACUUUUGAAAGAGUGGAACAGAUGUGCAUUCAGGUUAAAGAAGUUGGAGAUCGUGUCAACUAUAUCAAAAGAUCGUUACAAUCAUUAGAUUCUCAAAUUGGCCAUUUGCAAGAUCUUUCAGCCCUGACUGUAGAUACAUUAAAAACACUCACUGCCCAGAAAGCUUCAGAAGCUAGCAAAGUUCACAAUGAAAUCACACGCGAAUUGAGCAUUUCCAAACACUUAGCUCAAAACCUUAUUGAUGACGGUCCUGUAAGACCUUCUGUAUGGAAAAAGCACAGUGUUGUAAAUACACUUAGUUCCUCUCUUCCUCAAGGUGGUCUUGAAAGUAAUAAUCCUUUUCUUUGUAAUAUUUUUAUGAAAGAUGAAAAAGAUUCCCAGUGUAACAUAUUUGGUCAGGAUUUACCUGUAAUACCCCAGAAAAAAGAAUUCAAUUUUCCAGAGGCUGGUUCCUCUUGCAGUGCCUUAUUCCCAAGUGCUGUCUCUCCUCCAGAACUGCGACAGAGAAUACAUGGAGUAGAAACCUUAAAAAUGUUUAGUAAAAAUCAAAAACCAGGCAAUUCAUCUAACAGUAUACCACAUCUAUCAUCCCCACCAACCAAAUUUUUUGUUAGUACACCAUCUCAGCCAAGUUGUAAAGGCCACUUGGAAACUGUAACCAAAGAUCAAGAAACUGUUUGUUCCAAAGCUGCAGAGGGAGAUAACAUAGAAUUUGGAGCGUUUGUAGGACACAGAGAUAGCAUGGAUUUACAGAGGUUUAAAGAAACAUCAAACAAGAUAAAAGAAAUGUUAUCUAAUGAUAUUCCUUCUGAAAACACUUUGAAACAUGUGAGUUCUCACACUGGAUUUACUGAGCGUCACAAAACUUCUAUUCCUCUUCAUUCAGAACAAGUGGAAAGUGGCAGUAGAAGGUCAUCUACAGAAGAAACUCAUGAAGUAGAUUCCAAAGCAGCUUUGCUACCGGACUGGUUACAAGAUAGACCAUUGAAUAGAGAAAUGCCGCCUGAAGAAGGAACCUUAAAUGGUCUUGCUUCUCCAUUUAAGCCAGUUAUGGAUACAAAUUACUAUUACUCAGCUGUGGAAAGAAAUAACUUGAUGAGAUUAUCCCAGAGUAUUCCAUUUACACCUGUGCCUCCAAGAGGUGAGCCUGUCACAGUGUAUCGCUUGGAAGAGAGUUCUCCCAACAUACUGAAUAACAGCAUGUCUUCUUGGUCACAGCUGGGCCUCUGUGCCAAAAUAGAAUUUUUAAGUAAAGAGGAGAUGGGAGGAGGUUUACGAAGAGCUGUCAAAGUACAGUGUACUUGGUCAGAACAUGAUAUCCUCAAAUCAGGACAUCUUUAUAUUAUCAAAUCUUUUCUUCCUGAAGUGAUUAACACAUGGUCAAGUAUUUAUAAAGAAGAUACAGUUCUGCAUCUCUGUCUUAGAGAAAUUCAACAACAGAGAGCAGCACAAAAACUCACAUUUGCCUUCAACCAAAUGAAACCCAAAUCCAUACCAUAUUCUCCAAGGUUCCUUGAAGUUUUCCUGCUGUAUUGCCAUUCAGCGGGACAGUGGUUUGCUGUGGAAGAAUGUAUGACUGGAGAAUUUAGAAAAUACAACAACAAUAAUGGUGAUGAGAUUAUUCCAACUAAUACACUGGAAGAAAUUAUGCUGGCCUUUAGCCACUGGACUUACGAAUAUACAAGAGGGGAGUUACUGGUACUUGAUUUACAAGGUGUGGGUGAAAGUUUGACUGACCCAUCUGUGAUAAAGGCAGAAGAAAAGAGAUCCUGUGAUAUGGUUUUUGGCCCAGCAAAUCUAGGAGAAGAUGCGAUAAAAAACUUCAGAGCAAAACAUCACUGUAAUUCUUGCUGUAGAAAACUUAAACUUCCAGAUCUGAAGAGGAAUGACUAUACACCUGAUAAAAUAAUAUUUCCUCAGGAUGAGCCUUCUGAUUUGACUCUUCAGCCUGGAAAUUCCACCAAAGAAUCAGAAUCAACUAAUUCUAUUCGUCUGAUGUUAUAAUAUUACUGAAUCAUUGGUUUUGAUUACACCUCACAAAAAUGUUACUGUGUCACUUUUCAUUAGGAGGAAAUUGUUUGAUAAUACAGAAAAGUGUGUGCUGAAUCUAGCACAGUUAAAAGGUCAAUAUUCUUUUGGCCCAAUUAAACUAGUCAGUCAAGAACUCCCUAUAUGAUACAGCUGGCAGCUGUUAAAUUUUAAAGAGCCUUGCUGGAGCUUGUAGCAAACAAAAUAUAGGUACUAAAUAAGUACGUGUUGAAGAAGUACCACAGAAUAUUUUCAACAUUAGAUGAUCUGUGAGCUUUUUCUUAGAAAAAAAAUCCCAGGUAAGGUUCUAAUUCUCUCUAGAAUAUGUUUUCCUUCUAGGUUUAUCGGAAUUCCUCAAAGCAGUUUCUUCUUGGGGUCCUUGAUUCUACUUUAGUGGAUAUGAGAGGGGCUGGGAGAAGGUAUGGUUAUUCUUUAGAAAAGUUACAAUACAUAUACCAGUUUACAAUAAACAGCACCUUUUAGUAGGGUACUUUCUUUAGUGCACUGUCCUAACCUACAGUUAGCACUUGCCUGUUUUUUACUUGGAAUUUCUGAAGUCCUGGAAUUUUAUGAAGUCCUGAAUUAUGGAACUUAACUUUCACUUUAAAUGUUUUAGUAUGUGUUUCUAAAAUACCAGAACUAUAGUAUCUUCACAUCUAACAAUUUAACAAGUUAGUUAAUAUCAGAGAAUGUAAUCAUUCUCAAAACAAAUUUUUAAAAAUAAUUUGCUUGAAUCGGAACUUCUUAAGCUUCGUGUAUUGCAGUUGCUUGAUUUGUCUUUAAAGCCUCUUUUAAUAUAUAGGUUUCUGCUUCCACUUUCUUUUUUUUCCAGUUUAUUUUUUGAAGAACCAGCUCUUGUGUUCUAAAAAGUUUCCCACAUAAAAGGUUUUGUUGAUUACUUCCGUAGUUGUCAUUUUAUGUUUCCUAUUUAGUCCAUAAACUAGUUGUUACGUAUAGAGACUCGGUCACAUUCAAGAUUGAUUGUCUGACAGGAGUGCUUCACUGGUGGCAUUGUGUACUUCCACUAGGAAACACAGGUCGUACUGUCUUUUGGGUGGUCCUUGCCUAGAUUUCUUCAAUAGAUCAGUGGUUCUCAGUGUGGACCACAGUCCCUGACAUUCCCCACGACACUUUCUUUGGCCUACAAGGUCAAAACUUCUCAUAACUGUAAGUUAUUCUUUGUCUUUUUCAAUGUGUUCAAAGUUUUACUGUUGUUGGAAAAUCAUUGAUGGGUAAAAAUGCUGCUACCUUAGCAUGAAUCAAGGAAGUAGCACCAAACUGAACUAGUUGGUUGGUACAGUCUUCACCAUCAUGCCAGUGUUUCUUUUUUUAAUCCAUUUCAUUUCAAAUGUCACUGAUGAAGGAAUAAGUCAAUUUUUAAUUAAUUUUGACCUUAAAACAUGCCUUUAAUAUUCUGUGGGGCAAAAUGAAAAAUAGGCAUAAAGUACUUUGCUUCAUAAGGAAGUGUGAUGAUUGUUUUAGGAAAAGGCAAUUAUGCAGUUGUGUGAGUUACAAACUGGACUAGUCACUUUUUUCAUUGAACAUGUCUGCUUGGAAGAAUAACAGACAAACCAGGGUUCUUCACACUGGGAGUGUUUGGUAGAAAACUAACAGUACUUACUAAAAUUUGAGCUUUCAAGAGAAAGUUGCAGUUUUGGAAAACUUGCCUCUUAACAUGGUAGCAUGACAACAUCCCGAUACUUUUCCAAUAAAAUCAGUGCUGAUUUAACAA